CUCAUCAUUGGGAACUUCAGUAGUCUCAACUGAGAUUUCAGUUGUACAUUCCUUCACUUCAUAUUCCUUGGCUUCAGAGCUCUCCUCUGAACUAUGAACCUCAGGAACCUCAUUGAUAGGCUCAUAGGACUCUAAAACAUCAUGACGAUUGGGAACAGUUUCAUGAUUGGAAUCAUGGGAAACACCAUUUGAAUAAACUAUGACACAAUCUGGUUCCUUGUCCGUGCAUAUAUCUGUAACUUCUACUCCCAUUGCAAGAAUUUGGUCCGAUCUGAGAAGAAAUGGAAGAGAGACAGAGUUUGAGCUGGCAGUUUCUUCUUCUUGGUUUUAUCUGCCUUAUCGAGCUGUUUGUGUUUUUAUGUGCGGUUUCUUC
rnacentral:misc_RNA from 1 species